rnacentral:lncRNA from 1 species
GCGGGUCUCUCUCUCCUCUCCCUAGCGUGCGACAGCCGGCCACGUUUUGGCCGGCCGUGCUCUCCUCCGGCCACCAAUGACGACGGGACCGGUACCAAAAUGACCGGGCCGUCGUCCUCUUCCUACCCCAGCCAGCCCCCGCCUCCAACCCCCGCGGUUUCGCCGGAAUUUGGAGAAGAAGCGGUCGACGUCGCCGGAUCUUCACAGCCGCCGAUCUCCCUCCUCCGGCCACCAAUUCCGUCGACCCAGGUAUGGAUUUUGAACCUCUCGAGCUGCUCUAGUUGAUGGUUGGGUAGGAUUAGAUCGAUUCUUAGCGUAGACAACUCGAUUUUCAAAUUGAAAAACGGCCGAACUUCGGCCGUCGUGAUCGGCCAUUUCCGGCCACUUUUUGGGGUAGGUCCAAGAACAAAAGUGGCUCCAAAUAGGGUGUUAUACCUAGGGUAGGAGUUUGGAGCCGUGGUUUUGAGAUUUUCCGGCGAAGCGUUAUCGCUUUGGGCACCCACGCGCUGCCGGCGCGUGCGGCAGCGCGUGGGCACUGUAGAAAAAUAGCACUGUAUUCCGAUGAGAUCCUUAGGUUGUCACGAGUGCGUAGGAUUUCGCGGAUCUCAAUUCGGACGUCAUUUGACUAUCGAACGGAUAAUCGCAUAUUAUGCGUUAUCCGGGUUCGAUAGGUUGGGACCGUCGGAUGGUCCCAAAUUUAAUAUAUGUUAAUCUAGGUAUUUAUAGGAUCAUGUAGGAAUUCACGGAUCGUGAAUCGGAGCCCCGGAUGUUCCGAAUAAUAAUUUAAAGUUUAUAUUUUAUAUUAACCGUCAGAUCAUGCGAUCGUGAGAAAUUCGACCGUCUGAUCUGAACCAAACUCGCAGAACAAGUGUCCUAUACCUGGUAGAACCCAUAGAGACUUUCGGAUCGGAAAUUGGAGGUCGUGAGUUCUGCAAGUCCGUUUGACCAGGGUUAGAGUAGUUUGACCCUUGGUUGACCGUGAAUUUCCCGGAGUAAUCUCACCCUUCCGGGGGAGAUUAUCGGGAGCUAGACUAUUGUGGAGGGUUACACAAUAUAAGAAUUAAUUUAUAUAAAUAUAAUUAUAGGUGGUUGUACAAGGGUACAACAGAGUCUAGAAUGUCAGUUUGGAGUGCUAUACGCACUACUGUAGGUACCUCCUCGGAUUUUGGAUUCACUACAAGCACCACCAAGUGAAAGUUAGGUCCCGCUUGGCGUAGGUUAUUCGGCGUGUUGACAGGCCCCAUACGUGGCGUUGGUUGUACCGGCGUAUGGGGAGAAUAUGUGAAAUACAGAUAAAUGAAAUAAGAUAUCGCCCAAGUGCGGAAUUGGGUUUUUAGGGAAGAACUACGUGUGGCUUGAUCCCUCAAGGAGGGUACGUAGGCAGCCUAAGGUUAUUAGGUGCAGCCACAGACUAAAUAUUAGUCAUAUUUUGUAUUUGAAUUGUUUGGUAGUUGUUUGAGAAUUAUUGGAAGGCCGAAGGCCAUUUAUGAAAAUUUGCAUGAAAUUAUAUUGUGCAUGCUGCCAGUUGGGAAUAUUAAAUGCGUUUUUAUGCAGGUAUAAAUUUUGGGAAAUGUCCAAAUUAUAGGGGAGACUCUGCCGAAAUUUCGACAGGAAGUCUCGAUUUUUAGUAAGUGGGCCUGACAUCGGGGUGAUGUCAGGAAUUGCAAAGGGUUCGUCUCGGAUUUUGAGAAAAUUCGGGGCGGGUCCUUUCAUUGGAUGUUCCGGUGUGGGAACUUUGGAGUUUUCUCCCCCGGUUGGAACGCUCAUCCCUAGACGCAUGAUAGCACUUGGAAAUCCUGCGGACUAAUCAAACGAUCCCCCAGUUGGAUUGUUUUCUCUAGUACCUAGGUAGUGUGAUGGGUAUAUCGUAUAGCCUUGUAUAGUUAUUUAUAUAUAUAUAUAUUUAUAUGUAUAUGCAUAGUUGAGUGAGUGAAGAAUUAGAGUUUGUUAGUGGUUUGGCAGGAGUUGUAAGUUUGAGAAAAUGGGGUUUGUGAAAGAGAUGAUUUGUAUUUGAAGAGUUAUAAAUGAAUCAUGUUUUGAGUAAUUAAAUAUUGAAUUGUGAACCUGCUGAAUUGAGCAUUAUCUUUACACGGUGGGGUUACUAUAUUGUUUUAAUUGCAAAUCUGGUUUUUGUCCCUCCCAGUCAGUAGUCGCUCCAAGAAGUGUGCAAGUGGUGUACGAGGCUCGAACUGUGAAUCUUCCUAGUUAGGAAUUGAGUAAUUUCUUCUACUCAACUGUUCUUGUAAUCUAAAUUCAGUAGAUGCUCUGUUAUCGUCCAUGGUAGAUUUUACUUGUGAG